rnacentral:rRNA from 1 species
UGGGGAAUAUUGCACAAUGGGCGCAAGCCUGAUGCAGCCAUGCCGCGUGUGUGAAGAAGGCCUUCGGGUUGUAAAGCACUUUCAGCGAGGAGGAAGGUGGUGAACUUAAUACGUUCAUCAAUUGACGUUACUCGCAGAAGAAGCACCGGCUAACUCCGUGCCAGCAGCCGCGGUAAUACGGAGGGUGCAAGCGUUAAUCGGAAUUACUGGGCGUAAAGCGCACGCAGGCGGUUUGUUAAGUCAGAUGUGAAAUCCCCGGGCUCAACCUGGGAACUGCAUUUGAAACUGGCAAGCUAGAGUCUCGUAGAGGGGGGUAGAAUUCCAGGUGGUAGCGGUGAAAUGCGUAGAGAUCUGGAGGAAUACCGGUGGCGAAGGCGGCCCCCUGGANGAAGACUGACGCUCAGGUGCGAAAGCGUGGGGAGCAAACAGGUUAGAUACCCUGGUAGUCCACGCUGUAAACGAUGUCGAUUUUGGAGGUUGUGCCCUUGAGGCGUGGCUUCCGGAGCUAACGCGUUAAAUCGACCGCCUGGGGAGUACGG